rnacentral:rRNA from 1 species
AUUGAACGCUGGCGGCAGGCCUAACACAUGCAAGUCGAGCGGAGCGGCGGACGGGUGAGUAAUGCAUAGGAAUCUGCCUGGUCGUGGGGGAUAACGUCCGGAAACGGGCGCUAAUACCGCAUACUCUCAGUUGAGCCUAGGGCGGAUUAGCUAGUUGGUGGGGUAACGGCCGACCAAGGCGACGAUCCGUAACUGGUCUGAGUGGCUGAUCAGUCAAACUGGAAGUGAGACACGGUCCAGACGCCUACGGGAGGCAGCAGUGGGGAAUAUUGGACAAUGGGAGAAAGCCUGAUCCAGCCAUGCCGCGUGUGUGAAGAAGGUCUUCGGAUUGUAAAGCACUUUAAGUUGGGAGGCGUUACCAACAGAAUAAGCACCGGCUAACUUCGUGCCAGCAGCCGCGGUAAUUC